GCAAUAUGUCAUCUCUCUAAAAGAUUCAAGCAGUAUAAAUUUCAGGUAAAAGACUCGAAGCGCCUCACUGCCUUUGCUCUCGCCUAUAGCUCAAGAUCUCGAUCGCAGCAGCCAACGACUGCUUCUCGCACAUCCUUCGACGCGUCUCAUAAACACGCACGUGUUUGUGAGCGUAUGUGUGUGUACACACGGGCGCGUGCUCUUUGUUUUAAAUAUACCCCUGGAAUCAUAUUUAUAGACACUACUAUACAAUUUAGUUUUUUUUUAAACUUAUCUAUCAGCCUUUUUCUAAGUCUACAUGCAUUUUUUUUUUAAUUAGCUAUUCGUUUUUGAGAAAAAUGAGGUUAUAUGUGCUCCUAGGAUGGGGGUGGAGAGGAUUCAAAUCAAAGGGCUUGUGGGGAAGGUUGGGCCUCGUCCC
rnacentral:lncRNA from 1 species